GGACUCGUAGCUCAGUUUGGUUAGAGCGUUUCGUUGACAUCGAAAAGGUCAGAGGUUCGAGUCCUCUCGAGUCCACAA
rnacentral:tRNA from 1 species